rnacentral:rRNA from 1 species
CUGUCGGCAGGCCUAACACAUGCAAGUCGAACGGUAACAGGAAGAAGCUUGCUUCUUUGCUGACGAGUGGCGGACGGGUGAGUAAUGUCUGGGAAACUGCCUGAUGGAGGGGGAUAACUACUGGAAACGGUAGCUAAUACCGCAUAACGUCGCAAGACCAAAGAGGGGGACCUUCGGGCCUCUUGCCAUCGGAUGUGCCCAGAUGGGAUUAGCUAGUAGGUGGGGUAACGGCUCACCUAGGCGACGAUCCCUAGCUGGUCUGAGAGGAUGACCAGCCACACUGGAACUGAGACACGGUCCAGACUCCUACGGGAGGCAGCAGUGGGGAAUAUUGCACAAUGGGCGCAAGCCUGAUGCAGCCAUGCCGCGUGUAUGAAGAAGGCCUUCGGGUUGUAAAGUACUUUCAGCGGGGAGGAAGGGAGUAAAGUUAAUACCUUUGCUCAUUGACGUUACCCGCAGAAGAAGCACCGGCUAACUCCGUGCCAGCAGCCGCGGUAAUACGGAGGGUGCAAUCGUUAAUCGGAAUUACUGGGCGUAAAGCGCACGCAGGCGGUUUGUUAAGUCAGAUGUGAAAUCCCCGGGCUCAACCUGGGAACUGCAUCUGAUACUGGCAAGCUUGAGUCUCGUAGAGGGGGGUAGAAUUCCAGGUGUAGCGGUGAAAUGCGUAGAGAUCUGGAGGAAUACCGGUGGCGAAGGCGGCCCCCUGGACGAAGACUGACGCUCAGGUGCGAAAGCGUGGGGAGCAAACAGGAUUAGAUACCCUGGUAGUCCACGCCGUAAACGAUGUCGACUUGGAGGUUGUGCCCUUGAGGCGUGGCUUCCGGAGCUAACGCGUUAAGUCGACCGCCUGGGGAGUACGGCCGCAAGGUUAAAACUCAAAUGAAUUGACGGGGGCCCGCACAAGCGGUGGAGCAUGUGGUUUAAUUCGAUGCAACGCGAAGAACCUUACCUGGUCUUGACAUCCACGGAAGUUUUCAGAGAUGAGAAUGUGCCUUCGGGAACCGUGAGACAGGUGCUGCAUGGCUGUCGUCAGCUCGUGUUGUGAAAUGUUGGGUUAAGUCCCGCAACGAGCGCAACCCUUAUCCUUUGUUGCCAGCGGUCCGGCCGGGAACUCAAAGGAGACUGCCAGUGAUAAACUGGAGGAAGGUGGGGAUGACGUCAAGUCAUCAUGGCCCUUACGACCAGGGCUACACACGUGCUACAAUGGCGCAUACAAAGAGAAGCGACCUCGCGAGAGCAAGCGGACCUCAUAAAGUGCGUCGUAGUCCGGAUUGGAGUCUGCAACUCGACUCCAUGAAGUCGGAAUCGCUAGUAAUCGUGGAUCAGAAUGCCACGGUGAAUACGUUCCCGGGCCUUGUACACACCGCCCGUCACACCAUGGGAGUGGGUUGCAAAAGAAGUAGGUAGCUUAACCUUCGGGAGGGCGCUUACCACUUUGUGAUUCAUGACUGGGGUGAA